rnacentral:lncRNA from 1 species
AAGUUCUGCUUUCUGUUCCCUGAUCAGGGACCAGAGAGGGGCAAAAUCUUCCUUUGAUCCUAACUCCCUAUUUUUUAUUUUUCCUCUCUCUUGAUCCCCUUGUCUACUUUUCAGAUUUAGCCUCACCUUGUAAGUGCUUCCUUUCUGAGGUGUAGGUAAGAAAGAUUGAGAUUCCAUCCGCACGAGACAAACCCAGCAGUUCGGAGCAGUCAAGACAGGUUGGAGGAACAAAGGAAGGAGGUCAUGUUACCAGUUUCUAAGGCUUGGGGUCAUCUGGAAGAAGCUGGAAUCACAGUACAGGUGGAAUGGAAGUGCAAUGGAAGAAGUGGAACCACAGUGAAGGCUUGCCUUCCACCAUGAUUGUGAGGCCUCCCCAGCCAUGUGGAAAUGAUGUUCCAGAAGGCCAGGGCGGUCGGUUCUGCUGCACAAAUGAGGUCAGAGCAAUCAAGAGAGCCAAGGAAGUCCUACUUAUCUGGAUUAAAUAACUCAAUCUACAAACUACUCAACUUUAAUAUAAGGUGGAAAAUAGGAUUUCAAAAGAAAAGAAGAAGGAGAAGAACAAGGACAAGAAACUGAGUUUUGGCAGAAGGCAAGUGAGCAAUUAAAAAUAAAUCUUUCAUGAUUUGCUCCCACAGGCAAAAAAUAUAAU